rnacentral:rRNA from 1 species
AGCUUGCUCCUUUGACGUUAGCGGCGGACGGGUGAGUAACACGUGGGUAACCUACCUAUAAGACUGGGAUAACUUCGGGAAACCGGAGCUAAUACCGGAUAAUAUUUCGAACCGCAUGGUUCGAUAGUGAAAGAUGGUUUUGCUAUCACUUAUAGAUGGACCCGCGCCGUAUUAGCUAGUUGGUAAGGUAACGGCUUACCAAGGCGACGAUACGUAGCCGACCUGAGAGGGUGAUCGGCCACACUGGAACUGAGACACGGUCCAGACUCCUACGGGAGGCAGCAGUAGGGAAUCUUCCGCAAUGGGCGAAAGCCUGACGGAGCAACGCCGCGUGAGUGAUGAAGGUCUUCGGAUCGUAAAACUCUGUUAUUAGGGAAGAACAUACGUGUAAGUAACUAUGCACGUCUUGACGGUACCUAAUCAGAAAGCCACGGCUAACUACGUGCCAGCAGCCGCGGUAAUACGUAGGUGGCAAGCGUUAUCCGGAAUUAUUGGGCGUAAAGCGCGCGUAGGCGGUUUUUUAAGUCUGAUGUGAAAGCCCACGGCUCAACCGUGGAGGGUCAUUGGAAACUGGAAAACUUGAGUGCAGAAGAGGAAAGUGGAAUUCCAUGUGUAGCGGUGAAAUGCGCAGAGAUAUGGAGGAACACCAGUGGCGAAGGCGACUUUCUGGUCUGUAACUGACGCUGAUGUGCGAAAGCGUGGGGAUCAAACAGGAUUAGAUACCCUGGUAGUCCACGCCGUAAACGAUGAGUGCUAAGUGUUAGGGGGUUUCCGCCCCUUAGUGCUGCAGCUAACGCAUUAAGCACUCCGCCUGGGGAGUACGACCGCAAGGUUGAAACUCAAAGGAAUUGACGGGGACCCGCACAAGCGGUGGAGCAUGUGGUUUAAUUUGAAGCAACGCGAAGAACCUUACCAAAUCUUGACAUCCUUUGACAACUCUAGAGAUAGAGCCUUCCCCUUCGGGGGACAAAGUGACAGGUGGUGCAUGGUUGUCGUCAGCUCGUGUCGUGAGAUGUUGGGUUAAGUCCCGCAACGAGCGCAACCCUUAAGCUUAGUUGCCAUCAUUAAGUUGGGCACUCUAAGUUGACUGCCGGUGACAAACCGGAGGAAGGUGGGGAUGACGUCAAAUCAUCAUGCCCCUUAUGAUUUGGGCUACACACGUGCUACAAUGGACAAUACAAAGGGCAGCGAAACCGCGAGGUCAAGCAAAUCCCAUAAAGUUGUUCUCAGUUCGGAUUGUAGUCUGCAACUCGACUACAUGAAGCUGGAAUCGCUAGUAAUCGUAGAUCAGCAUGCUACGGUGAAUACGUUCCCGGGUCUUGUACACACCGCCCGUCACACCACGAGAGUUUGUAACACCCGA